UACGUAGGGGGCAAGCGCUAUCCGGAUUUACUGGGUGUAAAGGGAGCGUAGACGGCAAGACAAGCCUGGAGUGAAAGGCGGGGGCCCAACCCCCGGACUGCUCUGGGAACUGUCUGGCUGGAGUGCAGGAGGGGUAAGUGGAAUUCCUAGUGUAGCGGUGAAAUGCGUAGAUAUUAGGAGGAACACCAGUGGCGAAGGCGGCUUACUGGACUGUAACUGACGUUGAGGCUCGAAAGCGUGGGGAGCAAACAGG
rnacentral:rRNA from 1 species